GGAAGUAAAAGUAGUAACAAGGUUUCCGUAGGUGAACCUGCGGAAGGAUCAUUAUUGUAUAACCGAGGUGCGAGGGCUGUCGCUGACCCGAAAGGUCGUGCACGCCCGAGUGCCCUCACACACAUCCAUCUCACCCCUAUGUGCACCACCGCGUGGGUCCCCCUUUGGCUUGUUCGGAGGGGGGCUUACGUUUUCACACAAACUUUGUAUGCAGUGUAGAAUGUAUUUUUUGUUUUUGCGAUCACGCAAUCAAUACAACUUUCAACAACGGAUCUCUUGGCUCUC
rnacentral:misc_RNA from 1 species